GGAUCAGGUAGGGAUACCCGCUGAACUUAAGCAUAUCAAUAA
rnacentral:rRNA from 1 species